rnacentral:misc_RNA from 1 species
GAUGAAGAACGUAGCGAAAUGCGAUAAGUAAUGUGAAUUGCAGAAUUCAGUGAAUCAUCGAAUCUUUGAACGCACAUUGCGCCCUAUGGUAUUCCGGGGGGCAUGCCUGUUCGAGCGUCAUUAUAACCACUCAAGCUUUCGCUUGGUAUUGGGGCUCGCGGUUCCGCGGCCCCUAAAAUCAGUGGCGGUGCCUGUCGGCUCUACGCGUAGUAAUACUCCUCGCGAUUGAGUCCGGUAGGUCUACUUGCCAGCAACCCCCAAUUUUUACAGGUUGACCUCGGAUCAGGUAGGGAUACCCGCUGAACUUAAGCAUAUCAAUAAGCGGAGGA